rnacentral:rRNA from 1 species
GACGAACGCUGGCGGCGUGCUUAACACAUGCAAGUCGAACGGAAAGGCCCUGCUUUUGUGGGGUGCUCGAGUGGCGAACGGGUGAGUAACACGUGAGUAACCUGCCCUUGACUUUGGGAUAACUUCAGGAAACUGGGGCUAAUACCGGAUAGGAGCUCCUGCUGCAUGGUGGGGGUUGGAAAGUUUCGGCGGUUGGGGAUGGACUCGCGGCUUAUCAGCUUGUUGGUGGGGUGGUGGCUUACCAAGGCUUUGACGGGUAGCCGGACUGAGAGGGUGACCGGGCCCAUUGGGACGGGGAUACGGCCCAGACGCCUACGGGAGGCAGGAGUGGGGAAUAUUGCACAAUGGGCGGAAGCCUGAUGCAGCAACGCCGCGUGCGGGAUGACGGCCUUCGGGUUGUAAACCGCUUGCGCCUGUGACGAAGCGUGAGUGACGGUAAUGGGUAAAGAAGCACCGGCUAACUACGU